rnacentral:rRNA from 1 species
GGACGGGUGAGUAACGCGUGGGUAACCUGCCUCAUACAGGGGGAUAACAGUUAGAAAUGACUGCUAAUACCGCAUAAGCACACAGUACCGCAUGGUACGGUGUGAAAAACUCCGGUGGUAUGAGAUGGACCCGCGUCUGAUUAGCUAGUUGGCGGGGUAACGGCCCACCAAGGCGACGAUCAGUAGCCGACCUGAGAGGGUGACCGGCCACAUUGGGACUGAGACACGGCCCAAACUCCUACGGGAGGCAGCAGUGGGGAAUAUUGCACAAUGGGGGAAACCCUGAUGCAGCAACGCCGCGUGAGUGAAGAAGUAUUUCGGUAUGUAAAGCUCUAUCGGCAGGGAAGAAAGUGACGGUACCUGACUAAGAAGCCCCGGCUAACUACGUGCCAGCAGCCGCGGUAAUACGUAGGGGGCAAGCGUUAUCCGGAUUUACUGGGUGUAAAGGGAGCGUAGACGGCACAGCAAGUCUGAAGUGAAAUCCCCGGGCUCAACCCGGGAACUGCUUUGGAAACUGUUGGGCUGGAGUGCUGGAGAGGCAAGCGGAAUUCCUAGUGUAGCGGUGAAAUGCGUAGAUAUUAGGAGGAACACCAGUGGCGAAGGCGGCUUGCUGGACAGUAACUGACGUUGAGGCUCGAAAGCGUGG